rnacentral:lncRNA from 1 species
GUGACACUGACCUCUGCAAUGCAGCAGGUGGCGUGUAUAAGGGGAGCUACCUCCUGCUGUUGUCUCCUCUGCUCUUCUACUUCCUGUUUCAGUGAGUCCAGCUGCAGCAGAAACUGAAAGUCACAUUUCCAUAUUUUACUGAAUAAAGUGUACAUGUUGUUCUGCUGUUCUUUAGGAUGAUGAUUUGGGGGAUUAAACAAAAUAGUGCAUCAACUAGUGUAACACACAAAUAAUUAUUAAAAAGAAAAACAAAAUGAAUAUAUGAUGAGUUUGCAAUAUCUGCAGUAAUUUUGUGGAGUAAUAAUAUUUGCAGUUAAGACU